GAUGAACGCUGGCGGCGUGCCUAAUACAUGCCAGUCGAGCGAACAGAUGAGGAGCUUGCUCCUCUGACGUUAGCGGCGGACGGGUGAGUAACACGUGGAUAACCUACCUAUAAUACUGGGAUAACUUCGGGAAACCGGAGCUAAUACCGGAUAAUAUAUUGAACCGCAUGGUUCAAUAGUGAAAGACGGUUUUGCUGUCACUUAUAGAUGGAUCCGCGCCGCAUUAGCUAGUUGGGAAGGUAACGGCUUAUCAAGGCAACGAUGCGUAGCCGACCUGAGGGGGUGAUAGGCCACACUGGAGCGGAGACACGGUCCAGACUCCUACGGGAGGCAGCAGUAGGGAAUCUGCCGCAGUAGGCGAAAGCCUGGCGGAGCAACGCCGCGUGAGUGAUGGAGGUCUUCGGAUCGUAAAACUCUGUUAUUAGGGAAGAACAAAUGUGUAAGUAACUAUGCACGUCUUGACGGUACCUAAUCAGAAAGCCACGGCUAACUACGUG
rnacentral:rRNA from 1 species